rnacentral:rRNA from 1 species
GCUCAAUGAUUUUUAAAUAGCCGCGGUAAUCUGACCGUGCAAAGGUAGCAUAAUCACUUGCCCUAUAAUUGAGGGCUGGAAUGAAUGGAAUUACAAGACUCUUGCUUUAUUUUUUAAAAAAUUAUAAAUUUCUUUUUUAGUGAAGAAGCUAAGGUUUAGAUGUGGGACAAGAAGACCCUUUAGAGCUUUAUUACUGGGUUUUUAAAAAAUUUUUGUAAUUUGGUUGGGGCGACCGAGGAAGGGGGAAUCUUCCUUUAUAUUAUUUUGAUCUGUUGUUUUCGAUUAAAAGAAUAAGCUACCUAAGGGAUAACAGCGUAAUUUUUUUUGUGAGUUCUUAUUAAAAAAAAAGAUUGCGACCUCGAUGUUGACUUAUAGUUUCCUUUUGGUGUAGCCGCUAAAAUGGUAGGUCUGUUCGACCUUUAAAACUUU